rnacentral:rRNA from 1 species
CUACGGGAUGCUGCAGUGAGGAAUAUUGCACAAUGGGGGGAACCCUGAUGCAGCAACGCCGCGUGGAGGAUGACGCAUUUCGGUGUGUAAACUCCUUUUAUAUGUCAAGAAAAUGACGGUAGCAUAUGAAUAAGCACCGGCUAACUCCGUGCCAGCAGCCGCGGUAAUACGGGAGGGUGCAAGCGUUACUCGGAAUCACUGGGCGUAAAGGACGCGUAGGCGGGUUGGAAAGUCAGGUGUGAAAUCCUACAGCUUAGCUGUAGAACUGCACUUGAAACUUCUAAUCUAGAGUAUGGGAGGGGGAGAUGGAAUUAGUGGUGUAGGGGUAAAAUCCGUAGAUAUCACUAGGAAUACCUAAAGCGAAGGCGAUCUCCUGGAACAUUACUGACGCUAAGGCGUGAAAGCGUGGGGAGCAAACAGGAUUAGAUACCCUGGUAGUC